ACUCCUACGGGAGGCAGCAGUGGGGAAUCUUGGACAAUGGGCGCAAGCCUGAUCCAGCCAUGCCGCGUGAGUGACGAAGGCCUUAGGGUUGUAAAGCUCUUUUAGCAGGGAAGAUAAUGACGGUACCUGCAGAAUAAGCCCGCCGUACACUUCGUGCCAGCAGCCGCGGUGAUACGAAGGGGGUAGCGUUGUUCGGAAUUACUGGGCGUAAAGCGCACGUAGGCGGAUCAUUUAGUCAGGGUG
rnacentral:rRNA from 1 species